GACGAACGCUGGCGGCGUGCUUAACACAUGCAAGUCGAACGAUGAAGCUGGAGCUUGCUCCGGUGGAUUAGUGGCGAACGGGUGAGUAACACGUGAGCAAUCUGCCCUUGACUCUGGGAUAACUGCGGGAAACUGUAGCUAAUACCGGAUAUGAGGCUCGAAGGCAUCUUCGGGUCUGGAAAGAAUUUCGGUCAAGGAUGAGCUCGCGGCCUAUCAGCUUGUUGGUGAGGUAAUGGCUCACCAAGGCGACGACGGGUAGCCGGCCUGAGAGGGUGCGCGGCCACACUGGGACUGAGACACGGCCCAGACUCCUACGGGGGGCAGCAGUGGGGAAUAUUGCACAAUGGGCGAAAGCCUGAUGCAGCAACGCCGCGUGAGGGAUGAAGGCCUUCGGGUUGUAAACCUCUUUUAGCAGGGAAGAAGCGAAAGUGACGGUACCUGCAGAAAAAGCACCGGCUAACUACGUGCCAGCCGCCGCCGUAA
rnacentral:rRNA from 1 species